rnacentral:rRNA from 1 species
UACGAAGGGGGCUAGCGUUGCUCGGAAUUACUGGGCGUAAAGGGCGCGUAGGCGGCUAUUUAAGUCGGGGGUGAAAGCCCAGGGCUCAACCCUGGAAUUGCCUUCGAUACUGGAUAUCUUGAGUUCGGGAGAGGUGAGUGGAAUGCCGAGUGUAGAGGUGAAAUUCGUAGAUAUUCGGCGGAACACCAGUGGCGAAGGCGACUCACUGGCCCGAUACUGACGCUGAGGCGCGAAAGCGUGGGGAGCAAACAGG